AUGAACGCUGGCGGCGUGCCUCAUCCCUGCAAGUCGAGCGAACGGACGAGAAGCUUGCUUCUCUGAUGUUAGCGGCGGACGGGUGAGUAACACGUGGAUAACCUACCUAUAAGACUGGGAUAACUUCGGGAAACCGUAGCUAAUACCGGAUAAUAUUUUGAACCGCAUGGUUCAAAAGUGAAAGACGGUCUUGCUGUCACUUAUAGAUGGAUCCGCGCUGCAUUAGCUAGUUGGUAAGGUAACGGCUUACCAAGGCAACGAUGCAUAGCCGACCUGAGAGGGUGAUCGGCCACACUGGAACUGAGACACGGUCCAGACUCCUACGGGAGGCAGCAGUAGGGAAUCUUCCGCAAUGGGCGAAAGCCUGACGGAGCAACGCCGCGUGAGUGAUGAAGGUCUUCGGAUCGUAAAACUCUGUUAUUAGGGAAGAACAUAUGUGUAAGUAACUGUGCACAUCUUGACGGUACCUAAUCAGAAAGCCACGGCUAACUACGUG
rnacentral:rRNA from 1 species